GCGUUCGUAGCUCAGCUGGAUAGAGCGACGGACUUCGAAUCCGUAGGUCGGGGGUUCGAGCCCCUCCGGACGCA
rnacentral:tRNA from 6 species